GCACAGGUAGCUCAGUGGUAUAACUCCUGCCCGGUUAGCGGAAGCCCCGGGUUCGAUUCCCAGUCUGUGCA
rnacentral:tRNA from 1 species